UUUUAGAUGUAAAUAUUCUGGAAUUUUCCAAAUGAAUUUUAGCCAAACUUUUAGUAUUUUAAGCUGUUUUAUUGUGAUUUGACGUGGAAUAUACAGUUGAUGCCGUCGGUUUUUUUAAAGUUUUUACAUCUGAAUGUCUUAUUUAUAGUAUAGAGGCCUGAUGAAGCAAACGAGAGUUUGCGAAACGUUGCUGAAUAUACUUUAAGAUCUUU